AUAAUCAAAGUAUUUUCUGCCGUUGACUGAAGAAUAUAAAGACGGUUACCCCUGGGUAAAUUUUUGUGACCAGUUUUCGGCGGGUAAGUGGGCUCAGGUGGGCCUGGAAGCGUAGGAGGUUUCUGCUGAAUCGACUCUACCCAACAAGCGCAUACCGACAUUCGUAGCAACCAAAACAGUGUCGAUAUGGAAGCUCGAGGUCGAGUCGGUACGAAGCGAAUGUGUGAAACUAGUUAUCGACUGUAAAUGUUAGCACAAUAUCUUUAGCAACACAGUCGUUAUUUUAUUCCAA